rnacentral:rRNA from 1 species
AAGGGAUAUAUGGUUGGCAGAGCAGUUCAUCAUAGAAUUGUCAGUGAUGCCCAUAACGGUACCUUGAAAAUCUGAGUAAGGUAUCCAAACACACCAGAUCGUACCCAUAACCGCAUCAGGUCUCCAAGGUUAGCAGCCUGGUCGAUAGAAUAAUGCAGAUAAGGGGAAUUCGGCAAAUUAGAUCCGUAACUUCGGGGAAAAAGGAUUGGCUCUGAGGAUUGGGGUUAUAGUGGCUGCCAUUGAGAGGGGAACUAUGCAGGAGCUGCGUGAGUGGUUCUGAAUUGGUGAACCAGGAUUUGUCAGUUAGCUUACGCCAGCAACAAUCGACUCAGAACUGAAGCGGACAAGGGGAAUCCGACUGUUUAAUAAAAACAUAGCUUUGUGAUGGAGUGAAAACUUGUUGACACAAAGUGAUUUCUGCCCAGUGCUUUGAAUGUGAAUAUGAAGUAAUUUGUAGAAGCUCAGGUAAACGGCGGGAGUAACUA